UGGGCGGAAGCCUGAUCCAGCAACGCCGCGUGAGGGAUGACGGCCUUCGGGUUGUAAACCUCUUUCAGUACCGACGAAGCGAGAGUGACGGUAGGUACAGAAGAAGCACCGGCCAACUACGUGCCAGCAGCCGCGGUAAUACGUAGGGUGCGAGCGUUGUCCGGAAUUAUUGGGCGUAAAGGGCUCGUAGGCGGUUUGUCGCGUCGGGAGUGAAAACGCCGUGCUUAACACGGCGCUUGCUUUCGAUACGGGCAGACUGGAGGUAUGCAGGGGAGAACGGAAUUCCUGGUGUAGCGGUGAAAUGCGCAGAUAUCAGGAGGAACACCGGUGGCGAAGGCGGUUCUCUGGGCAUUACCUGACGCUGAGGAGCGAAAGUGUGGGGAGCGAACAGGAUUAGAUACCCUGGUAGUCCACACCGUAAACGUUGGGCGCUAGGUGUGGGAUCCAUUCCACGGGUUCCGUGCCGCAGCUAACGCAUUAAGCGCCCCGCCUGGGGAGUACGGCCGCACGGCUAAAACUCAAAGGAAUUGACGGGGGCCCGCACAAGCGGCGGAGCAUGCGGAUUAAUUAUAUGCAACGCGAAGAACCUUACCUGGGUUUGACAUACACCCUGCCGCCUCAGAGAUGGGGCUUCUUUUGGGGGUGUACAGGUGGUGCAUGGCUGUCGUCAGCUCGUGUCGCGAGAUGUUGGGUUAAUACUCGCAACGAGCGCAACCCUUGUCCUAUGUUGCCAGCACGUAAUGGUGGGGACUCAUAGGAGACUGCCGGGGUCAACUCGGAGGAAGGUGGGGAUGACGUCAAGUCAUCAUGCCCCUUAUGUCCAGGGCUUCACGCAUGCUACAAUGGCCGGUACAAAGGGAUGCGAUGCUGUAAGGCGGAGCGAAUCCCAAAAAGCCGGUCUCAAUUGGGAUUGGGGUCUGCAACUCGUCCCCAUGAAGUCGGAGUCGC
rnacentral:rRNA from 1 species